CCUAGGGGUGGCAGCAGUGGGGAAUAUUGGACAAUGGGCGAAAGCCUGAUCCAGCCAUGCCGCGUGUGUGAAGAAGGCCUUCGGGUUGUAAAGCACUUUCAGUGGGGAAGAAAGCCUUGGGGCUAAUACCCUCGAGGAAGGACAUCACCCACAGAAGAAGCACCGGCUAACUCCGUGCCAGCAGCCGCGGUAAUACGGAGGGUGCGAGCGUUAAUCGGAAUUACAGGGCGUAAAGCGCGCGUAGGCGGUCUGAUAAGCCGGUUGUGAAAGCCCCGGGCUCAACCUGGGAACGGCAUCCGGAACUGUCAGGCUAGAGUGCAGGAGAGGAAGGUAGAAUUCCCGGUGUAGCGGUGAAAUGCGUAGAGAUCGGGAGGAAUACCAGUGGCGAAGGCGGCCUUCUGGACUGACACUGACGCUGAGGUGCGAAAGCGUGGGUAGCAAACAGGAUUAGAUACCCUAGUAGUC
rnacentral:rRNA from 1 species